rnacentral:tRNA from 1 species
UAUAGCUCAAUGAUAGAGUGCUUGCCUAGCAUGUGCAAGACCCUGGGUUCAAUCCCCAGUA